AAGGAGCUCCACCGGGGCAAUCCGAAUUGGGGCGCGAGAGGUGAAAUUCUUAGACCGCCUUAGGACGUCCUGCCGCGAAGGCAUUUCGCCAGAUGGUGUUUGUCAAUCAAGAACGAGAGUAUGGGGAUCGAAGACGAUUAGAUACCGUCGUAGUCCAUUCACUGUAAACUGUGCCGGCUCAGUGUUGGGAAGCGUUUCUGUUGCCCGUCUCUCCCACACAAGAAAGAAUGUCCCAGCGCUCCAUCCCCAAUUAUCGAGAAAUCCAGAGCUUCUGGGUUCAGGGGGGAGUACUAUCGCAAGAUUGAAACUUAAAGGAAUUGACGGAAUGACACCACCAGGCGUGGAGUCUGCGGCUUAAUUUGACUCAACACGGGGAACCUUACCAGAUCCGGACAAUGCUUGGAUUGACAGAUUGAUAGCUCUUUCUCGAUUCGUUGGACGGUGGUGCAUGGCCGUUCUUGGUUGGUGCCGCGAGGUGUCUGGUUCAUUCCGAUAACGAGCGAGAUACCUGCCUCUUAAUAGACGUCGUUGUCGUAAUCUGUAGGACGGGAAAAAAUGUGGGUCUUCUUUUGCCCCAUAUGCUCUCUCUAAUCCCUGUCCGAGACAACGCACAGCUUCUCCGAGGGACUCUGUGGGGUGGACUCACUCAACCCUCACGAAGAUAGUGUGCAACAGCAGGUCUGUGAUGCUCCCAGAUGUCCUGGGCUGCACGCGCACGACACUGGUGGAGAAAACGAGAGAACCCUUUUGUUUUGAUGCCCCGUUGGUUUGGACUUCUGUCCAUCCUCGGGUGCAUACAGGGCAAAAAAAGGGCCUUCCCUGUCAAGGGUGGGAAAUCUUUCAGCCUCUGCCGUGCUGGGGAUCGAGAAUUGCAAUUGUUUGCCGUGAACGAGGAAUGCCUAGUAUGCGCGGGUCAACAGCCCGCCCAGAUUGCGUCCCUGCCAUUUGUACACACCGCCCGUCGUUGCUACCGAUGAUGCGAUGACAGAAACCGAUGGAGAGAGGCACGUCGACGAGCAACCUUACCCCUCUCUCGCUCUCUCUAUCCACGAGGGGAAAAAAAGGGUCUCUACUCUGCUUCUCAAAUUCGAUUGAUGUUAUCUUAUUAGAGGAAGCAAAAGUCGUAACAAGGUAGAUGUAGGUGAACCUACAGCUGGAUCAU
rnacentral:rRNA from 1 species